UACGUAGGGUCCGAGCGUUGUCCGGAGUUACUGGGCGCAAAGCGCGCGCAGGCGGCUGACUAAGUCUGACGUGAAAGCCCCCGGCUCAACCGGGGAGGGUCGUUGGAGACUGGUUGGCUUGAGGGCGGUAGGGGCUGGUGGAAUUCCCGGUGUAGUGGUGAAAUGCGUAGAGAUCGGGAGGAACACCUGUGGCGAAGGCGGCCAGCUGGGCCGACCCUGACGCUGAGGCGCGAAGGCGUGGGGAGCGAACGGG
rnacentral:rRNA from 1 species